AGAGUUUGAUCCUGGCUCAGGACGAACGCUGGCGGCGUGCCUAAUACAUGCAAGUAGAACGCUGAAGAGAGGAGCUUGCUCUUCUUGGAUGAGUUGCGAACGGGUGAGUAACGCGUAGGUAACCUGCCUUGUAGCGGGGGAUAACUAUUGGAAACGAUAGCUAAUACCGCAUAACAAUGGAUGACACAUGUCAUUUAUUUGAAAGGGGCAAUUGCUCCACUACAAGAUGGACCUGCGUUGUAUUAGCUAGUAGGUGAGGUAAUGGCUCACCUAGGCGACGAUACAUAGCCGACCUGAGAGGGUGAUCGGCCACACUGGGACUGAGACACGGCCCAGACUCCUACGGGAGGCAGCAGUAGGGAAUCUUCGGCAAUGGGGGCAACCCUGACCGAGCAACGCCGCGUGAGUGAAGAAGGUUUUCGGAUCGUGAAGCUCUGUUGUAAGUCAAGAACGGGUGUGAGAGUGGAAAGUUCACACUGUGACGGUAGCUUAUCAGAAAGGGACGGCUAACUACGUGCCAGCAGCCGCGGUAAUACGUAGGUCCCGAGCGUUGUCCGGAUUUAUUGGGCGUAAAGCGAGCGCAGGCGGUUUGAUAAGUCUGAAGUUAAAGGCUGUGGCUCAACCAUAGUUCGCUUUGGAAACUGUCAAACUUGAGUGCAGAAGGGGAGAGUGGAAUUCCAUGUGUAGCGGUGAAAUGCGUAGAUAUAUGGAGGAACACCGGUGGCGAAAGCGGCUCUCUGGUCUGUAACUGACGCUGAGGCUCGAAAGCGUGGGGAGCGAACAGGAUUAGAUACCCUGGUAGUCCACGCCGUAAACGAUGAGUGCUAGGUGUUGGAUCCUUUCCGGGAUUCAGUGCCGCAGCUAACGCAUUAAGCACUCCGCCUGGGGAGUACGACCGCAAGGUUGAAACUCAAAGGAAUUGACGGGGGCCCGCACAAGCGGUGGAGCAUGUGGUUUAAUUCGAAGCAACGCGAAGAACCUUACCAGGUCUUGACAUCCCGAUGCUAUUUCUAGAGAUAGAAAGUUACUUCGGUACAUCGGUGACAGGUGGUGCAUGGUUGUCGUCAGCUCGUGUCGUGAGAUGUUGGGUUAAGUCCCGCAACGAGCGCAACCCCUAUUGUUAGUUGCCAUCAUUCAGUUGGGCACUCUAGCGAGACUGCCGGUAAUAAACCGGAGGAAGGUGGGGAUGACGUCAAAUCAUCAUGCCCCUUAUGACCUGGGCUACACACGUGCUACAAUGGUUGGUACAACGAGUUGCGAGUCGGUGACGGCGAGCUAAUCUCUUAAAGCCAAUCUCAGUUCGGAUUGUAGGCUGCAACUCGCCUACAUGAAGUCGGAAUCGCUAGUAAUACGCGGAUCAGCACGCCGCGGUGAAUACGUUCCCGGGCCCUAACGGACCGCCCGUCAA
rnacentral:rRNA from 1 species